rnacentral:rRNA from 14 species
GCUUACGGCCAUACCAGCCUGAAUACGCCCGAUCUCGUCUGAUCUCGGAUGCUAAGCAGGGUCGGGCCUGGUUAGUACUUGGAUGGGAGACCGCCUGGGAAUACCAGGUGCUGUAAGCA